CGCAGCCUGAUGCAGCAUGCCGCGUGAGUGAUGAAGGCCUUAGGGUUGUAAACGAUCUUUCAGAUGGGAAGAUAAUGACGGUACCUUCAGAAGAAGGUGCGGCCUAACUCCGUGCCAGCAGCCGCGGUGACUACGGAGGGAGCUAGCGUUGUUCGGAAUUACUGGGCGUAAGACGCUACGUAGCGGUACUAUUAGUCGGAUGUGAAAUCCCAGGGCUCAACCCUGGAACUGCCUUUGAACUGGUUGACUUGAGGUACGAGAGGGUGAGUGGAAACUCCAGUGGUAAGGUGAAAUUGCUAAAAUUUCAGAAGAAACCACCCGUGGGCAAAGGCGCUCAUUGGGUCCGUACUUGACCCUAAGUACCAAAGUGUGGGGUAGCAAACAGGAUUAGAAUACCCUGGUAGUCCACACCCGUAAACAUUGGGGCCUAUCUGUGGGUCUACAUUGUCCUUUGGUGACGCCCCUAACUAAUUAAUUAUUCCCCCUGGGGGAGGGAACGGAUCGUCGAUUAAAACUCCUCGAAGGAAUUGGGCGGG
rnacentral:rRNA from 1 species